UACAGAGGUGGCAAGCGUUGUUCGGAAUUACUGGGCGUAAAGGGCGCGUAGGCGGCCGCCUAAGUCAGACGUGAAAUCCCUCGGCUCAACCGGGGAACUGCGUCUGAUACUGGGUGGCUUGAAUCCGGGAGAGGGAUGCGGAAUUCCAGGUGUAGCGGUGAAAUGCGUAGAUAUCUGGAGGAACACCGGUGGCGAAGGCGGCAUCCUGGACCGGCAUUGACGCUGAGGCGCGAAAGCAUGGGGAGCGAACAGG
rnacentral:rRNA from 1 species